UCCGAGUUGACCCCGGCAGUCUCGCAUGAGUCCCCAACUAAAUGCUGGCAACAUACGACGGGGGUUGCGCUCGUUGCGGGACUUAACCCAACAUCUCACGACGCGAGCUGACGACAGCCACGCACCACCUGUGAAGGUGCCCCGAAGGGAAGCCGUGUUUCCACGGCGGUCACUCACAUUCAAGCCCAGGUAAGGUUCCUCGCGUAUCAUCGAAUUAAACCACAUGCUCCUCCGCUUGUGCGGGCCCCCGUCAAUUCCUUUGAGUUUCAAUCUUGCGAUCGUACUCCCCAGGUGGAAUACUUAACGCUUUCGCUUAGACGCGUACUGUGUAUCGCACACAUCGAGUAUUCAACGUUUACAGCGUGGACUAC
rnacentral:misc_RNA from 1 species